AUAAGGUCCCACUAUCUUGCCCAGGCUUGGUCUUGAGUUUGAGACCAGCCUGGGCAACAUAGUGGGACCUUAU
rfam:Papio anubis isolate 1X1155 chromosome 1, whole genome shotgun sequence.